GAAAGAUGAAAAGGACUUUGAAAAGAGACUCAAAGAGUGCUUGAAAUUGUCGGGAGGGAAGCGGAUGGGGGCCGGCAAUGUGUCUUGGUCGGAUGUGGAACGGUCCUAACCGGUCUUCCCACCGACUCGAGACAUUGACUGACGCGGAUUGUGAUAGUGGCCCAAGCCCGGGCUAUUGAAAUGCUCGUGGAGACGUCAUCGUUGCGAUUGUGCACAAAAGCACGCGCCUUAGGCGCGUCUCGGCACGUGCGUGCUCCGAGCGUCGGCCUGUGGGCUCCCCAUUCGGCCCGUCUUGAAACACGG
rnacentral:rRNA from 1 species